rnacentral:rRNA from 1 species
UCCGACUGUUUAACAAAAACAUAACCUUUAGCCAAACAAGUAUUAAAGGCAACGCCUGCCCAGUGAAUAAUUAAACGGCCGCGGUACCCUAACCGUGCAAAGGUAGCGUAAUCACUUGUCUAUUAAUUGUAGACCCGUAUGAAAGGCAAAAUGAGGGCCUAACUGUCUCUUAUAAUAAAUCAAUUAAACUGAUCUCCCAGUACAAAAGCUGGAAUACCAACAUAAGACCAGAAGACCCUGUGAAGCUUAAACUAAACCAUUAAAACACAUAAUAACUACUUUCGGUUGGGGCGACCUUGGAAAAAAAAAGAACUUCCAAAGGCCAACAAGCCAAACAAUAGACCCAGCAAAGCUGAUAAUUGAACCAAGUUACUCCAGGGAUAACAGCGCUAUCUUCCUCAAGAGCCCAUAUCAAAAGGAAGGUUUACGACCUCGAUGUUGGAUCAGGACAUCCUAAUGGUGCAGCCGCUAUUAAGGGUUCGUUUGUUCAACGAUUAAUAGUCCYACGUGAUCUGAGUUCARACCGGAG